GAGUUUGAUCCUGGCUCAGGAUGAACGCUGGCGGCGUGCCUAACACAUGCAAGUCGAACGGGGUUAUUUAGGAAAUUUCCUUCGGGGAAUGGAAUCUUUAACCUAGUGGCGGACGGGUGAGUAACGCGUGAGCAAUCUGCCUUCGGAUGGGGGAUAACAGCCGGAAACGGCUGCUAAUACCGCAUAACACAAGGGAUUCGCAUGUUUCCCUUGUCAAAGAUUUAUCGUCCGAAGAUGAGCUCGCGUCUGAUUAGCUGGUUGGCGGGGUAACGGCCCACCAAGGCGACGAUCAGUAGCCGGACUGAGAGGUUGAACGGCCACAUUGGGACUGAGACACGGCCCAGACUCCUACGGGAGGCAGCAGUGGGGAAUAUUGCGCAAUGGGGGCAACCCUGACGCAGCAACGCCGCGUGAUUGAAGAAGGCCUUCGGGUUGUAAAGAUCUUUAAUCGGGGACGAAAAAUGACGGUACCCGAAGAAUAAGCUCCGGCUAACUACGUGCCAGCAGCCGCGGUAAUACGUAGGGAGCAAGCGUUAUCCGGAUUUACUGGGUGUAAAGGGCGUGUAGGCGGGCAUGCAAGCCAGAAGUGAAAUCUGGGGGCUUAACCCCCAAACUGCUUUUGGAACUG
rnacentral:rRNA from 1 species